CACGGACGCCGCCUGGGAGGAAGACGGCGCGUUCAGCGACCAGUAUCACAGACACAGCCGCUGUGAUGCCGGCUGCUGCCUGUACGUGGACGGCAGAGAGCAAUCCGCAGACGACGGCCCGUGGCAGCUGCUGCUGUGCAACUCGUGUGGCUCCCAGGGGACCCACCGCCGCUGCUCCUCGCUGGGGGCCACCAGGGGCCCGUGGGAGUGUGAGGACUGCGCGGAGCCCGCAGGGGCGGCAUCCCGCCAGCUCUCCGCCCCGGGGAGACCAGCCACCAGCCAGGCUGCGUGUGGAACCAGGGGCAGCUCUGGUGCGUCUGCCAGAGGCAGGAGGCCAGGACCCACCACACUCACCCCGAGA